rnacentral:ncRNA from 1 species
AGGAACCGGAUGCGGGAAACCCGCACGUCCGGAUCUGUGAGGGAUGGGGCCGGUAACGUCCCCAUCUACUCGGC